rnacentral:rRNA from 1 species
UACAGAGGUCUCAAGCGUUGUUCGGAUUCACUGGGCGUAAAGGGCGCGUAGGCGGCCUGUUAAGUCGAACGUGAAAUCCCCGGGCUCAACCCGGGAACUGCGUCCGAUACUGGCAGGCUUGAAUCCGGGAGAGGGAUGCGGAAUUCCAGGUGUAGCGGUGAAAUGCGUAGAUAUCUGGAGGAACACCGGUGGCGAAGGCGGCAUCCUGGACCGGCAUUGACGCUGAGGCGCGAAAGCCAGGGGAGCAAACGGG